GGUCUUGCCUGGGUUUUACUUAGCUUUUCACAGGUUCAUGGCAGUUUCUCCGAGCAUAUUUUAGGGGCUCCUCAAGUUUCCCACAGAGAGACUAGACUGAGCACCGUUAUCGCUGGACAUUCAGUCACUGAACCUGGCGGAAACUUCAUAGCUUCUAUUUAGCAAAUUUUAAGCGUUGGAGAAAAUGAAAGAGCAAGUCAAGCACCUGUGAAGAAGAAUUGAGUCAUUUCUAGACUAGAGGUUUCACCCAAGGCUGUUGGCUACUCCAUGCUUUUCUGCAGGACACUGUUGGACAAAAAGCAUCUGUCUGGGUGCAAAGGUCCUUGUUUGACUGUCCUGUGCUAGGUCUGUCCUUUCAGGAGGUCUCAUAGCUCUUUGGGGAGUCUUUCUGGGAGUAUCUUUUAUACGUUGAAUGUAUGUUGAUCCUUUUGCCUUGGUUAUGGAUAGAAUAUUGUGUCCUUGGUCAUCAGUACGUAAAAGUACUUGUGAAAGUAUUAAUGAAGUUAUCACUGAAUUAUUCUUAUCUAACUAUUAUUCCACACUCAUAUCCCCAGACUCCAGUAAUGGGUGUUAUCAAAACAGGCAGACACCAUCCAUUUCCCAAUAGUCAUGCAGUCUGAGAUGACCAGUGUUAUGUAAAGGGUGAGAAGGAAGGCACAACCAAAUAAUGGUGACCCAGACCAUGGUGAGUUUUCAUGACCAUUACAUGUUCCCUAGCCUAAAUGGUCAUUUGCUCACUAGUUUCUGGUAAAGACAUGGUCAAGAGAGGGUGGCAGUGAUCUGAUGGCUUGAUUCUGGGAGCCUGGCAAAUGUGUGGGGAGGCACAGCAACAGACAUAGAGGCAUUUGUAUGGGAAGCAGACAAAUUGAGUGUCCAAGGCCAUGGAAGGAUGAGCUUGUUAUCUUCUGUCAUUCAGCAGAGCAUCUUCCUAUUUCUUCUCCCUUAUCAUACAUCAUCAUUAGCAUCAGCAGACUGUCAGAGGAGCUUAUUUACCAUCAGUGUACAGACUUUAAAACAACAUCCUGUUGAACUUGCCUAGUGUCCAGUAUUAUACCCACACAUGGAAGCAGGACCUCUGCAGACAGCCUUUUUUGAAGGAGGCUUUCAAUAGCUCAGUCAAUUUGUUUGUUAGACUGGCUGCUCUCUGAGGAAUUGCUCUUAUAGUAAGGACUGUUAACCAGGAUUUGCACCCUCCUCCUCUUUAUACUGGGUAUGUCAACUGGUCUAACCCCCCAAAAAGAAAAUGUAAUUUCUCUAAUAAAUGCAGUUACCAUCCAAGGGCAAGUAGAAAAAAUUAUUGCAUUGAACCCCCCAAAAAGCUGGUUGAAAGCCGAGUGGCUGUUCUGCCUCGCUGCCUCUAAGGUUUGGAGGAUACAGGCAUGAGCUGGAGCAUAAGAAACAAGAAGCAGUGGUGUUCCUCACACAAGCACCUUAUACGCCAGGAGGCUUUGCGUGCCACCAUGAGAAAAGCAGACAUUAAGCAAGCAUUUAUUUUUAUAUCCCAUCAAAGAUUCCGUCCAGCCCACUGCUAUUUAAGUGAUAAAUCUCUAAGCUUCCACUCCUUAAGUUUAUUUUGUUGGGUUUUGUUUCGGGUUUUUUUUAAUAUGUAAUAUAUAUAAAAUGCCUUUUAUUCCUACAAAAUUUCAUAGAGAAGAAUUCUUUAUUCUGAUGCUGCAAUAAAGCACUUUAUAUAUGUAU
ensembl:lncRNA